rnacentral:rRNA from 1 species
UACGUAGGGGGCAAGCGUUGUCCGGAUUUAUUGGGCGUAAAGAGCGCGUAGGCGGCUAGACAAGUCUGCUGUGAAAACUCGAGGCUCAACCUCGAGCUGUCGGUGGAAACUGUCUGGCUAGAGUCCGGAAGAGGAGAGUGGAAUUCCUGGUGUAGCGGUGAAAUGCGCAGAUAUCAGGAAGAACACCUAUGGCGAAGGCAGCUCUCUGGGACGGUACUGACGCUGAGACGCGAAAGCGUGGGGAGCGAACAGG